UACGGAGGAUCCAAGCGUUAUCCGGAUUUAUUGGGUUUAAAGGGUGCGUAGGCGGCUUUUUAAGUCAGGGGUGAAAGACGGUAGCUCAACUAUCGCAGUGCCCUUGAUACUGAAGAGCUUGAAUGGACUAGAGGUAGGCGGAAUGUGACAAGUAGCGGUGAAGUGCAUAGAUAUGUCACAGAACACCGAUUGCGAAGGCAGCUUACUAUGGUUUUAUUGACGCUGAGGCACGAAAGCGUGGGGAUCAAACAGG
rnacentral:rRNA from 1 species